CAGGGAUUGCCCUAGUAACGGCGAGUGAAGCGGCAACAGCUCAAAUUUGAAAUCUGGCCCUUGGGUCCGAAUUGUAAUUUGUAGAGGAUGUUUUUGGUGCGGUAUCUUCCGAGUUCCUUGGAACAGGACGCCUUAGAGGGUGAGAGCCCCGUACGGUUGAAUGCCUAGCCUUUGUAAAACUCCUUCGACGAGUCGAGUAGUUUGGGAAUGCUGCUCUAAAUGGGAGGUAAAUUUCUUCUAAAGCUAAAUACCGGCCAGAGACCGAUAGCGCACAAGUAGAGUGAUCGAAAGAUGAAAAGCACUUUGAAAAGAGGGUUAAAUAGCACGUGAAAUUGUUGAAAGGGAAGGAUUUAUGACCAGACUUUUUCUAGGCGAAUCAUCCGGUGUUCUCACCGGUGCACUUCGUUUAGUUUAGGCCAGCAUCGAUUUUCGGAGCGGGAUAAAAGCUUUAGGAAUGUGGCUCCCUCGGGAGUGUUAUAACCUACUGUAUAAUACCGUUCUGGGGAUCGAGGUACGCGCUUCUGCAAGGAUGCUGGCGUAAUGGUUAUCAAUCACCCGUCUUGAAACACGGACCAAGGAGUCGAACAUUUGUGCAAGUGUUUGGGUGUUAAACCCUCACGCGUAAUGAAAGUGAACGGAGGUGAGAGCCCUUUACGGGGUGCAUCAUCGACCGAUCCUGAUGUCUUCGGAUGGAUUUGAGUAAGAGCAUAAAUGUUCGGACCCGAAAGAUGGUGAACUAUGCGUGGAUAGGGUGAAGCCAGAGGAAACUCUGGUGGAGGCUCGCAGCGGUUCUGACGUGCAAAUCGAUCGUCAAAU
rnacentral:rRNA from 1 species